GACGUCUGGGAAACUGCCUGAUGGAGGGGGAUAACUACUGGAAACGGUAGCUAAUACCGCAUAACGUCGCAAGACCAAAGAGGGGGACCUUCGGGCCUCUUGCCAUCGGAUGUGCCCAGAUGGGAUUAGCUAGUAGGUGGGGUAACGGCUCACCUAGGCGACGAUCCCUAGCUGGUCUGAGAGGAUGACCAGCCACACUGGAACUGAGACACGGUCCAGACUCCUACGGGAGGCAGCAUG
rnacentral:rRNA from 1 species